rnacentral:rRNA from 1 species
AGCGGCAGACGGGCGAGUAACGCGUGGGAACGUACCUUUUGCUACGGAAUAACUCAGGGAAACUUGUGCUAAUACCGUAUGUGCCCUUCGGGGAAAGAUUUAUCGGCAAAGGAUCGGCCCGCGUUGGAUUAGCUAGUUGGUGAGGUAAAGGCUCACCAAGGCGACGAUCCAUAGCUGGUCUGAGAGGAUGAUCAGCCACACUGGGACUGAGACACGGCCCAGACUCCUACGGGAGGCAGCAGGC